UCACUGCUGAUGAGUCCCAAAUAGGAUGAAACAGCCGUUCAGUGG
rnacentral:hammerhead_ribozyme from 1 species